rnacentral:rRNA from 1 species
UGGGGAAUAUUGGACAAUGGGGGCAACCCUGAUCCAGCAAUGCCGCGUGUGUGAAGAAGGCCUGCGGGUUGUAAAGCACUUUAGGUUACGAGGAAGGGGGGAGAGUUAAUAGCUUUCAUCAUUGACGUUAGUGACAGAAGAAGCACCGGCUAACUCUGUGCCAGCAGCCGCGGUAAUACAGAGGGUGCGAGCGAGAAUCGGAAUAACUGGGCUUAAAGGGCGCGUAGGUGGGGAUUGAAGAUGCAGGGG